UUCUUCCAAUGCGCAUAUGGCUCUUUUGGGCUGUCCCACCAGCCCACUAAGGGCUGGUGCACCACCCUCAAUGCCUAUGGGCUUCCCCGGGGUGGGUUACCCCCCCGGUGAAUUCCCGGAACCCAUUCGUCAUUCCCGGUACAUUCCCGGUAACUCCGAAAACCUUCCGGUAAUAAAUGAGGUCAUCCUAUAUAUCGAUCUUCAUUUCCGGACCAUUCCAGAAACCCUCGUGACGUCCGUGAUCUCAUCCGGGACUCCGAACAACAUUCGGUAACCAACCAUAUAACUCAAAUACGC
rnacentral:lncRNA from 1 species